rnacentral:lncRNA from 1 species
CUGGGCUCUCGGAUCUCGGAUACCCACUUCCCCCACGCCCGCAUGCGGACCCCUCUGUACACCGGGUGCUUGCUGUCGUCCCUCGGCCUCUUCUUCUGCUUCUUGGCGGCAUCCGGGGUCGGGGUCGGGUCCGGGUCGGACGUAACGGGUUUCCCGGUUGGCGGGUUUGUCAGAGAUGACGACCCGGACGACGAAGGUGAGUUGUUCGAGUCGGCCUCCGAGCUAUUCCACUCAGUCAUUAUAUAAUGUUGUGGUAUAUGGAGAGCAAGAGAGAGAGAGCAUGAAACAAACAAUUAAAAACGCAGCGUUUUGGAGGGGAUUCAGUGGGAGGGAAGUGGGAGGUGAGAGGAAGUAGAGAGUAUAAGAGGCAGAUCAAGAGAAACGCAGGGUGGGGGGAGCUUUUAAUAGAACGGAGGGGGGAAACAAAAAAAAAAGAAUAAGGAAACGUGGUGUUUAUAAGUGAGCCAGCACCACGGCCGACCUGUCGUUUUUUUUAACUCACUGAUUAUUUUGAUUUUGACCCUCCCUCCCCUAACCUCGCAACCAGUUAAAUUAAUUUUUUUUUUAUAUGAAAAAAUAAAUAAAUAAAAGGGGACUGACACCUAGCAAGCAUCGUAACUUAAUGACGCAGUUAACAUUUACAAAUUUCUAACUAAAGUAGUAGUUAAUGGAGAAAGGGAUAGUGAUAAGAGUGGUGAGGGGUGUCUUUAGAAGACAGCUGGCAGGGCCGUCCUUGCCGUCCUUUAUUAGUGGGGUUUACACAGUACGCUCAUUGGGGUGUGUACUGCUGAAAGCUUUCUCUGUUCAGUUUCUUGCGCUUUCCCUCUCUAUUUCAACCAAAAUUAUCAUCUCUCACUCUCAGACUCUCACUACUCUCCAUUUUUUUACAUCACAUUUUAAUCAGCAUUACUUUUCUUUACUUCUUCUCCAACUGUUAACCGAUUUGUCUUAUAAGGUGGGGUUUGAUUUGAAGAAAAGGAAAGAAAUGAGAGGAAAGUAGAAGAAAGGAGAGGAGAGUAUAUUGAAAUUCUUUUUUAAUGUUUGAUUUGUUACAAAAUUAUACCAAAAAAAAAAAAAAUGUCUUAACUUUUAUUUGGACAAUUUCAUCCUUUAGUGUUAAACUUCUAAUAUUUAUCAUAAAUAUAAUUCAAAAAAUUAAACAAUAAAUUUAUUUAAUGUACUAUAUAAAUAACUAAUAACAAUUUAUUUUAAGUAAUAUAAUUAUAUUUGUAAUUAAACUCUAUUCAAAAAGUUUAUUAACAUAAUUUUAUUUUUAAAUUAGUUUAAUUUAAUUUGUUUCUAAAUAAAUUAUGACAUUAUACAAAUAAUUUCUUAAUUAAUAUAUUAUAAUUUUAAAAUUUUAUUUGAACAAAAAAAAAGAUAGAGUUCCUGCCGCUGCCAUUAGAGCCGCUGAUCACCACUAUACCAUGUCAUUUCAACUCAAGAAUUAUAUGAAAAUUAUCAGAACUUGACGAUCUAUGGAUUGAAACAACUUAUUUGGUCGAGAUACUUGAUGUUUGUCCGCAUAUGAGAUAGUUAGAAAGUUUUCAAAUUUCUUUUAGACGACCCGGACGACGAAGGUGAGUUGUUCGAGUCGGCCUCCGAGCUAUUCCACUCAGUCAUUAUAUAAUGUUGUGGUAUAUGGAGAGCAAGAGAGAGAGAGCAUGAAACAAACAAUUAAAAACGCAGCGUUUUGGAGGGGAUUCAGUGGGAGGGAAGUGGGAGGUGAGAGGAAGUAGAGAGUAUAAGAGGCAGAUCAAGAGAAACGCAGGGUGGGGGGAGCUUUUAAUAGAACGGAGGGGGGAAACAAAAAAAAAAGAAUAAGGAAACGUGGUGUUUAUAAGUGAGCCAGCACCACGGCCGACCUGUCGUUUUUUUUAACUCACUGAUUAUUUUGAUUUUGACCCUCCCUCCCCUAACCUCGCAACCAGUUAAAUUAAUUUUUUUUUUAUAUGAAAA